GGCGGCGGACGGAGGGGGAGGGCCUGGCGGAGCCCUCGGAGCCAGCCUCGAAGGCGCGGGACGGAGCGCGCCCGCCUCGCCAGGGCGCCCGGCUGGGGGCGUCCCUGGCCCCGGCCCGCGGGCGCGCGGAGAUGGCCCGCUGGUUCCCCUCUCUUCCCCAGAGCCCCUCCGCACUACCCCUGGCUAAAGGCGGCCCGGCCGAGGCUCCGAGAGCAAUGGCUUGAGCUCCGACUCCAAGUGAUGAAUUCAUCUUAGUAGUUUUGGAACAGGCCUUCCUUAUGGUUUGUACUUCAAGACUAAGGACACAUAAAAGAGGGAAGUUGCAUAGUUCACCUGUAGCCAACUUGACAGCAUAAUUUUUAGGAGUCAAGAAUCGACAUUGGGUUAUUUCUUAAGAUUGAGCCUUGAAAGUCCACUUGGAUGUGACGCAGCUCUGUGCACACUUGCACAUGAAAAUGAUCUUCCAUCAAGGAGCUCUCCCUCUUCAGCUAAAUCAACAGCAGUCGUUUGAAGAAGAAGGGACCCCCUAUCUGACCAAACUCAGCCAGACUAAUCAAAUAAGUCUUUGUGAGCAAGGAGUAAAGCUGCACUAGGGUGGCCCUAUCACACCUUUCUUGAGCAGCUCCCUCUAAGAUUGCCACCUACAUGCAGGUCAUACCCUGUACGAAGGAUGGAUGGAAGAUUCUUGUGAACAGAUUAGGUUUAUUGUAAAAGAUGAAAUAUUUGACCAAAAUUGAAGUUAAUUUCAUGGAUAAAGUUCAAAAUAUUACUGUGGAUAUGAAUUAUGUUUGUAUGUAUUUAUAUAUGUAUGUAUAUAUAGUUAUGUGGUUACAUGGUUCUAUGUAUCAGAAAUUAGCACAACUUAAACUUAGUAAAUGCUGAAAAUAAAACUAUUUUGGAUAUUGGAA